UACAGAGGGGGCAAGCGUUAUUCGGUAUUAUUGGGCGUAAAGGGCGCGUAGGCGGCUUGGCAAGUGGAAGGUGAAAUCCCUCGGCUCAACUGAGGAACUGCCCUCCAAACUGCUUUGCUUGAGGCCGGGAGAGGCGAGUGGAAUUCCCAGUGUAGCGGUGAAAUGCGUAGAUAUCUGGAGGAACACCGGUGGCGAAGGCGGCAUCCUGGACCGGCAUUGACGCUGAGGCGCGAAAGCUAGGGGAGCAAACGGG
rnacentral:rRNA from 1 species